UCGGAAUAAGCAGCUUAGCAAAGCAGCCUGCGGUAAAACGCGCAACAGCUAAAUAUCUACAGCCAUGCUGCAGCUUCUCAAUGAAACGGUGGCAAAAAAGUGCUAAUAACACGGGCUGGUACGUUUGUAUACAAGCAGCAACGCUGUGUUCUCGCUGUGGGAAUGCUCAGAUUGCUACGAUGAACAAAUUGAGGGCAGAUCCCUUCGAAAUGAAUUGAGGCUUUGCAACAGUUUUACAAGAGAGACUAUCUGAGUCACGGAGAUUUCCCAGAACAACAUGACUCCCUCUUCGGACCAGAUGCAAAUGAAACUACUUUGAAUAUCAGUGUGGUUACUUUUCAUGGGUGAGGAAAAAGGCUGCACUUCCCCUUCCACAAAAUGUGCCUGGCAGAAAUGUUACACAUUGGGUAUCCAGAGAAGUCCCGCAGGUAGCAGGUGCUGUAACAACAAAACCCUUUGCAUUACCAUUAUCAUCUGCCAGCUCUGCUUCCAGUGAAGUCCUGCCGUGGUUUAA